UGAGGAAUAUUGGUCAAUGGGCGGGAGCCUGAACCAGCCAAGUCGCGUGAGGGAAGACGGUCCUACGGAUUGUAAACCUCUUUUGUCGGGGAGCAAUAAAGCGUACGCGUACGCAGAUGCGAGUACCCGAAGAAAAAGCAUCGGCUAACUCCGUGCC
rnacentral:rRNA from 1 species